rnacentral:rRNA from 1 species
AACGAACGCUGGCGGCAUGCCUAACACAUGCAAGUCGAACGAGACCUUCGGGUCUAGUGGCGCACGGGUGCGUAACGCGUUGGAACCUGCCCUUAGGUUCGGAAUAACUCCCCGAAAGGGGUGCUAAUACCGGAUAAUGUCUUCGGACCAAAGAUUUAUCGCCUUUGGAUGGGCCCGCGUUGUAUUAGCUAGUUGUUAGGGUAAAAGCCUACCAAGGCGACGAUCCAUAGCUGGUCUGAGAGGAUGAUCAGCCACACUGGGACUGAGACACGGCCCAGACUCCUACGGGAGGCAGCAGUGGGGAAUAUUGGACAAUGGGCGAAAGCAUGAUCCAGCAAUGCCGCGUGAGUGAUGAAGGCCUUAGGGUUGUAAAGCUCUUUUACCCGGGAUGAUAAUGACAGUACCGGGAGAAUAAGCUCCGGCUAACUCCGUG